AGCUGUGCAGGGCCCACCCAUGGAUCGUGCCGAGGGGCGGGGCCUGGCCCUUGUGGGGUCUGGUUUUUGAGGUUGUGCUGUCCCCCAAGCUGGGGGGCAAAUUCUGCAGGCUCUGCUGAGUCCUCUCCUUGAGUAAUUUACUGAUAAUUGUUUAUUAAAGGCGUUAUUCCAGCCAUCACCACAGUGGAUCCUUUCAAGGAGCCAAGGCAGGAAUUAUUACUCCCAUUUAACAGAUUCACAAGGAGUUGGAAAAAACGGAACAGGAAGUUUCCACGAACGUUCACCCAGUUUCCCCCAAUGGUAACAUCUUACAUAACUAUAGUGUGAUAUCAAAACCAGGAAAUCGGCCUGGAUACAAUCUACAGAGUUCAUUCAGCUCUAACCAAAAAGGAGAUAUUCUGAAAGACUAAUUGAUAGUAUUUUAAUUAGACCUGCUUGGACAGAAAGGAAAUGUUCCCAGAACAGGGAGCAGGGCUCCAUGGGUCUCCCAGCCCUACAACCCAGAGUUAUUUACUUUUUUAUUUAAGCAGUCUCUACACCCAACAUGGGGCUCAAACUCAUGACCCCCGAGAUCAAGAAUUGCAUGCUCCACUGACUUAGCCAGCCAGGUGCUCCGACAAAGCUGUACUUUUAGAAGAACUUCCUUUACUCACCUGGGUGGCUUAGAACUUCGGCUCGGGUCAUGACCUCACGGUUCGUGAGUUCAAACACCACAUCGGGCUGGCUGCUGUCCACGUGGACCCCGCUUUGGAUCCUCUGUCCCCCUCUCUGCCCCUCUCUGCUUGUGCGUGCUUUCUCUCUCUGUGUCCCUCAAAAUUAGUAAACAUUUUUUUAAAAAGUUCCUUCACCAAGCAUUUUGCAUGUGACAUUGAUUGAUCUGGGAGCUUUGCAUUUCAUUUAAUCUCACAUUCCCAUCCCACAGAUUAGGAAACUGAUGCUCUAGGAGGUGCUCAUUAGGUGACUUUCCAGGGAUCACACAGGGGAAGAGUGACAUGGGAACCCAUGCAGAUCUGUGACUCCAAUCUGUUGAUGUGGGGGAAAAGGAGAAGAAAGAGUAGGAUUCUGUGUACAGCUCGGUCAAGGCUACAAGAUUCUUUCACAUCAAGAAUUUGGUUGAUUUUUAUAGUGGCCUUUAAGGCAAGUGAUGCUAUGAAAUUAAGCAAAUGGAAAGAAAAAAAACAACUAGGCUCAGAUCAAGUGAUUUACUCAAGGUCAACAAGGAAGCAAGAGAAAGAGCUCAUUGGGGUGGGUAGUAAACUGAGAUGGGCUACACGCAUACUCCUCCCACCUUGCCACUCGCCUCGCCACUCGCCACGUCACUCGCCACUCGGUGGGUGGUGAUCUGGCCUGGCUCUUACCUCUGGUGUCACAGGGCUCAGCUGGAAGCCAAAGUCAACUUGUGGAAGGACAACCAAUGACACAAAGCAGGAUUUGGGAAGGCUGGGCAGGUCAGGGAGGGAGCUGUACCGAUGAGUUUGGAGGGGCAGUGAGACUUGGCUAUACCUUUGGCGGGGUGGGCAUUCAGACAGGGGAGGCGGAAGGGAGUGGCUCUGGCAGCCCAUCUGGGUGAGUGUUGCUGAUGGCACCAGAGGAAUGUGAAGGGAGGGAGGCUGUGGAGAGAAAUGAGGCCAGAGAGGUAGCAAGGCCCGUUCACAAAGCACCUUGACCAUGGGCCCAGAAACCUGGCCUCAUCAGAGGGCAGCGGGAGUGAAGGAAGUAGUGGAAACACAACUUCACAAUCUGCAACUGAAGACCCACCUUGUAUUGAUUGGAGGCCUUCCUACCUGGCCUCUGUGUUAGGCAAAACAAUAAAUUUCUUCCUUUGUUUAAGUAGCGGUUCUUGGAGUAUGGACCCUGGACCAGCACCAUUAGACAUGCAGAUUCUUAGACCCCAUCCCAGACCUGCAGACUCAGAAACUCUGAACCACCCAUUUAACUAACUUGAGUUCCAGGCAUAUGUUAUUUGCAGCUCGAAGCCUCAAUUACAGUGGUUAGUGCAUAUUGGAAUCACCUUAAAAAAAUGCUAGUGUCUAAACUUCCACCCUGAGGGCUUCUGAUUGAAUUGGUCUGGACUGGACCCGGCUGUGAAGAUUUUUUAAAGCCCUUCCAAGCUAUUCAAAUGCACGCUUAAGCUCGAGAAGUAGCUCCCAGGGAUCCAGCAGGCCAGUACAAGACUGUGUAGGAGGGGAUGCUCUGUUGGACCAGGGUGGCGGCUGUGGGGAUGGAGGUCAACUGGCCAGCCCUUGGUAACGGAUGGCUGUUUUCAGCUUGGACAAAUGUCUGGGUGGUGGCACCCUUCCUGGGGAUGGGGAACACGAAAAGGACCAUGUUUGAGAUGGAAGACUGUGGGCUGCAGUCUCAGAAAUGAUGAAUUCUGUUCCUUGAAGCUAAAGGGAGCUGUGAAACAUUCAGAGGGAGGGGGCAGGGUGGCAGUUGGAUACGUGCUUGAGUAGCUCCAGGGGCAGAGCAGGACAGAUGCAGAAUAGUGGGUCCUCGGCUGAGAGGGCAAAGGGAAUGGUAUUACCUAACGCUUGCCACCAAGUGAGAAGUGGGCCAGUAAGGAACUGGCCAGGAGGAAGAACCUCCCACAGCAGGCACUGGGAAGGCACUGUCAGGCAGGUGGGAGAGCCUGGAGAGAAUUCAAGAGUCACAGGGAAAAAGGGGUUCAAGAAUGAGGCCCAGGGGCCCAGGGGCGGUGGGGGAGUAUUGAGGGAAAAAGAGCACUGCAAAGUGGUUGUUGGAUUUGGCAACAAGGGAGUCCUGUGACCUCAGUGAGCGUGAGUCAGUGCAGGGGUGUGCUGGGGUGGAAGCUG